AGAGUGUGGGAGAGGAAGAUGGAAUUAGUUGUGUAGGGGUAAAAUCCGUAGAGAUAACUAGGAAUACCAAAAGCGAAGGCAAUCUUCUGGAACACUACUGACGCUGAGGCGCGAAGGCGUGGGGAGCAAACAGGAUUAGAUACCCUGGUAGUCCACGCAGUAAACGAUGAAUGUUAGUCGUCGGGUAGCUAGUCUAUUCGGUGAUGCAGCUAACGCAUUAAACAUUCCGCCUGGGGAGUACGGUCGCAAGAUUAAAACUCAAAGGAAUAGACGGGGACCCGCACAAGUGGUGGAGCAUGUGGUUUAAUUCGAAGAUACGCGAAGAACCUUACCUAGCCUUGACAUAUAUUAGAACAGACCAGAGAUGGACUGGUGCCUUCGGGAGCUUUUAUACAGGUGCUGCACGGCUGUCGUCAGCUCGUGUCGUGAGAUGUUGGGUUAAGUCCCGCAACGAGCGCAACCCUCGUCACUAGUUACUAACGGUUCGGCCGAGGACUCUAGUGAGACUGCCUUCGCAAGGAGGAGGAAGGUGAGGACGACGUCAAGUCAUCAUGGCCCUUACGGCUAGGGCAACACACGUGCUACAAUGGCCAGGACAAUGAGACGCGAUACCGCGAGGUGGAGCAAAUCUAUAAACCUGGUCUCAGUUCGGAUUGUAGUCUGCAACUCGACUACAUGAAGCUGGAAUCACUAGUAAUCG
rnacentral:rRNA from 1 species